rnacentral:lncRNA from 1 species
ACAGGCUCUGUUCCAAAUAAAAGUUAUCCAGAAGGUCACAAGGACAACCCCUGCGACUCACUCAUAGAGAAAUCCUGUGCUUGGGGUUUGUCAACGGGACGAGGGUAAGUGAAAGCACAAAAAUGAAAGGGGUUAUGGCUAUUAGGAGGAACAGGGGAAAGGGUUAAAGGCAGAACUGGCAGUUUAAGAAACACUUCUCAUUCAAAGUUCAUCAUCAUUUACUGAUAUCAUUUGGGGUCUGAUUCCUCCUGAUGGGUGAAUAGUGAGAGGGAAACAUCAGCUUUUAGACUAUUUCCAAUUCAAAUGGAAGCAAAAAGAACUACAAGUUGCAAGAAAUAGAGAAAAACUCCCCCCUUGAUGUUGAUUCUAGA